UGACAUCUGCAUUUUUAGUUCAAUGAGUCAUACGUCGGGGUUUUCGUUUCUUAUUUUGUUUGUGUCAGUGAAAAAACUCGUAAAAAAUAUUUAUUUUCUUUAAGAAAAACGCUCGUAAACGCACCGAUAAUCUACGUUCUACAUUUUCAACAGACUUCAGAAUCGAUGGCUGCCAUACGCAAAAAAUUAGUUAUCGUCGGCGAUGGUGCCUGUGGUAAAACUUGCCUUUUGAUUGUGUUCAGCAAAGACCAAUUUCCAGAGGUGUACGUACCGACAGUAUUCGAAAAUUAUGUGGCUGAUAUUGAAGUCGACGGAAAGCAGGUUGAGCUAGCAUUAUGGGAUACAGCUGGACAAGAAGACUACGACAGACUAAGGCCACUCAGCUAUCCAGACACAGAUGUCAUAUUGAUGUGUUUUUCGGUUGAUUCACCCGAUUCAUUGGAGAAUAUUCCGGAAAAAUGGACACCAGAGGUCAAACACUUCUGUCCAAAUGUUCCAAUCAUCUUAGUCGGUAACAAAAAAGAUCUUAGAAAUGAUCCAAACACAAUUAAGGAAUUGGCUAAAAUGAAACAAGAACCAGUUAAGCCACAGGAAGGUCGUGCAAUGGCUGAAAAAAUUAAUGCCUUCGCAUAUUUGGAAUGUUCGGCCAAAUCAAAGGAAGGUGUUCGCGAAGUCUUCGAAACAGCAACUAGAGCAGCCUUACAAGUCAAAAAGAAGAAGAAGGCCAGAUGUUCCUUUCUCUAAACGAACGAAGCACAAAAAUUUUCAUUUUCUUUUUACAAUUAAAAAAACAACAACACGAACAUCAACAACCACAACCGGAAUGUCCAACACAAUUCUGCAGCAGAAAACCAACAACAGAAAAUAUUUUACAAAAAAAAAAAUUACAACAGCCAGCCAACCAACCAACACACUUGACGAUUAUACAUUUUCUUUUUUAUCGAAUUGGUCAACAAACAUUUUUGGAUUUAGAAAUAACUUUUUAAGUGAAAACAGUGGAAGAGAGAAGAGAGAGAGAGAGAAAACCAACACAUUUAAGUGGACAGAAAAAUCAUAUUUUAAUGGGGUGGUCAACAAUAUAUGGAACACAAGGAUUUAAUUUCGAGAGAUUCUACAAUUUAAUUACGCUGGAUACAAACUAAAAGUUUUCAUUGUAAGAUUUCACUGUAUACUCUCACUCAUAAAAGAAAAAAAAGAAGAAAAAAAAACACAAAAAAAUCAUGAAAACUAUUUUCAUUCUAAAAAACUAUUAUAAAACUUUAACGUAACAAUUUAAACAAAACAAAGAAUAAACAAAAAAGUUGUCAAAUCUGUAAUUUUUAACAAAAGAAAAGAUAAAAAUUUCUACUUUUUAAAAAGCUAAACGAUAAGAGGAACAAAAUGUGAACCGUUUUUUAACCCUUUCUUUAAUGUGAAGCAAAAAUAAGAAGAAAUUUUUAAACAAAUUGAUUGUCUGUUGUCCGUUGAUAAUUUCAGUUGUAUACUUUGACUUAGAUUCAGUCAUUCAAAUGCAAAUGGAGCUCAAAGGCCGAAUGCAUUAGGACUCAUUGAAUUUUCCUUUUUUUUCUUACAUAAAAAUCAAGCUAAUCGAAGCUUAUCAACAAUAUUCAAUAUAAAUUAUCCCAAAUGAAUACCAAACAUCAUGAAAAAAAGAGAAAAUUUGCGAUUUUCAUUCUUCUGUAACGGAAAAAUAAGAAAUUGCAAAAUAAAAGAAAAAGUUAAGAAAGUGCCUGAUUUUCGUAGUUAAAACAAGAAAGAAAGAAACCAUAACAAAAUAUCAUUCGUUCGUUCGUUCGGUUUUGUUUGUUUGUUUGUUUGUUCUAAAAUCAAAAAAGAGAAAAAUUAUCAAAAAGGCUUAUUCGUUUUAUACUUAUAUUUAGUGGGUUUGAAUAAUUAAGAUUAUGUUACGCAUAUCGCUCGUUUAGUUUUUCGAAAUAAAAUUUCCCAACAAAACAAGUAUGAGAAAGUAGAAUUUGUAGACCAUUUUAGACGAUAAAAACAACAUUUUCAGUUCAGCAUUCAGUGAGCAUUUCUCCUUAAAUUUUCAUCCAGCUGUUCUUAGACCCAGACGUCACAUGACUAGUUGUUUCCUUAAAAUUCCUUAAAAUUUUUAGAAUUUUUAGGAAUUAAAUUCCUUAAAAUAGGCCCUGCUUCAGAAGAAUCACGAGGUCGAAUGUCAAAUAAUAGCCUCUGCCGAAUGAUUAUUUCUUUUUACAUACCGUCAACUGUCGUCGAUUUCAGAUAGCCUUAUGAAUUUCGGGCGAAUUUGUUAUAUGACCAGCGCCGGUUGCCAUUUGGACGUGCUAGCAAUUGUGAAUCAAAUACAAUUUUGUAGUUUUGUUCGAAUCAUUAUACUCUCCCGACUUCCGGUGUUCGUUGAGUUCCAGCAUAGCCAAUUUUUGAAGUAGAAAUUCUCCAAAAUUCUCUCCAUUUUUUCAAAUGUCUCUAAGUGUCCUUGAAGUCGAUUUUUUCUUCCAUUUCUCCAAAAUCAAAAUUGUUGUACCGUUUUGAAGGGCAGAAAAUUCAUAAAUUUUGCUUUGUUGAUGGAAAAUUGUUGGUAGAAUUGCAUUUUCGAGAAUUUAAGCAAAACGAACAAUCCUAUAAAUAGGUUGAGUACGAUUCGGGUUGGAGACAUUCGUAAAAAAGACGGUUCGCACUUUCAUAUUUAAUGUGAAAAUUCUUCAGUGAAGAAACAGGCUGAACGUUUCUCGCUCUAAACCCUAAACCUGUCGGUCGCAUUAGAAAUAUCCUCACUGAGGUUCAUGUUAGGUCCCAUUUAGAAGUAAUUUCUGUGAGGUUUACUCUAACAAUCUUCUUUUCAAGUGUUUACAUCUGCUUAUCCUGUGACCAUUAUCCAAUUAGCGAUUCGCCUCGAGAAAUUCCAGUUAAAUCUCCAAAAAAGGAAAAUGUAAAAUUUCCAAAACUUAAAUUUCACAAAUCUACACUUAAAGUCAACCAAAUUUGUGUCAUCGAGUCAACAGCAUCUGGCUCACUCAUAAAACUGCUUAUACGUUUUAUAGUCACACACACCCGAUAGUUCUAAAACCGUAUAAGUAGUGUGAUUGUAUGGGUGGACCAGCUGUAAUAAACUUAGACCAAAAUUCGGUUCGCAUUAACUGUGUACGCAAAUUCUAAAAAAAAAAAAAAAUUGAAUUAACAAACUGAACAAUUGUUGCUUGUAUUUUGUAGAUUUUAAAUGUUUAAAACAGUGAAAAGGGAUUUGAUUAAAGUUACUAUUUUUAACGAUGAAACGGUAGGUCCAUUUUAAUACGAAAA